UUUCAUAUAAACGGUUUUUACUAUUAGGCAACAGAAGUAGUUUAUUUCUAAUUCUGAUUUCGUUCAAUCAGUUGAAUGUAUUCACAGGCAUGCGAAUAAGUGAUCCAUUAAUGACUAUUUUAAAGUUCGCAGCACUUUUAGUGAUCCUCAACAAUAUUAAAAUUCGAGCUUUACACGAUUUAGUUUUUAAACACAAAAAAAUUUG